rnacentral:rRNA from 1 species
UUGAACGCUGGCGGCAGGCCUAACACAUGCAAGUCGAGCGGAUGAAGGGAGCUUGCUCCUGGAUUCAGCGGCGGACGGGUGAGUAAUGCCUAGGAAUCUGCCUGGUAGUGGGGGAUAACGUCCGGAAACGGGCGCUAAUACCGCAUACGUCCUGAGGGAGAAAGUGGGGGAUCUUCGGACCUCACGCUAUCAGAUGAGCCUAGGUCGGAUUAGCUAGUUGGUGGGGUAAAGGCCUACCAAGGCGACGAUCCGUAACUGGUCCGAGAGGAUGAUCAGUCACACUGGAACUGAGACACGGUCCAGACUCCUACGGGAGGCAGCAGUGGGGAAUAUUGGACAAUGGGCGAAAGCCUGAUCCUGCCAUGCCGCGUGUGUGAAGAAGGUCUUCGGAUUGUAAAGCACUUUAAGUUGGGAGGAAGGGCAGUAAGUUAAUACCUUGCUGUUUUGACGUUACCAACAGAAUAAGCACCGGCUAACUUCGUG